AGGGGAAGCAGAGCAGGGUGAUGGGGUGGAGUGAGAAGAUAUAACUGGACUGUCCUGCCAUCUCAAGAGUUCACCUUCCAGUGAGGUAUCAGACCAGGGAACCACAUGCUGGAGCCACGGUGUGAAGUCUGUGAAAAGCUGACCACCCGGUGUUUUGAUUCCAUUCAAUAAAAACACCAGCAGCUCUGGAUUUAAUGAUUCAGCUCUUAAAUGUGCUGAACUCGUGCUUCUCACAGAGAA